UACAGAGGUCUCAAGCGUUGUUCGGAUUCAUUGGGCGUAAAGGGCGCGUAGGCGGCCUACUAAGUCGGACGUGAAAUCCCUCGGCUCAACCGGGGAACUGCGUCCGAUACUGGUGGGCUCGAAUCCGGGAGAGGGAUGUGGAAUUCCAGGUGUAGCGGUGAAAUGCGUAGAUAUCUGGAGGAACACCGGUGGCGAAGGCGGCAUCCUGGACCGGUAUUGACGCUGAUGCGCGAAAGCCAGGGGAGCAAACGGG
rnacentral:rRNA from 1 species